GCAGAACACGCAGCAGCCAGAAGACUGGGAAUCAGAGGUGGCUGGACUGCCAUGUCCAACCUCCCGAAACUGUGGGAAGGACUCUGAGCGUGCAAAUCCUUCAGUCCCGGAGCUAGGAAGAGUAGCCCCACUGAGAUCCAGACGCUUCCAAGCCAUGGGGUCAAACAGCAGGCUGUGAAUUCCACCCUGGGAGCCAGGACCCUACCAGAAGAGCACCCAGCAAUAAGAGGAGGAGACCAACCACGCUCAGAAGCCCGUGUCAAUCUUUAUACUUGCAUAUGAUAAAGACAGCCACAUGAAAGGAUAAGGGCAUCAACUGGUUGAUGAUAGAGACUCAAGCCUCCUAAAUUACAUGGCAAAGAUAAAUUAGAACUAUCUGCCACCUACAUCAGAUGGUGAAGGAGGCAGGAACACAAUGCUCUGGAUACCAAUUAGUAGCAUAAUGGAGCCAGUAUCUCAUGUUCUAGUGUGUCAAAUUCCAGCAGUGCCAGUGAGAUCAGAACAGAAGUCACAGCAAGGUCACCACAAUCUGUCAGCAGGACAGCUUCAGCUAAGUACCACAUCCUAAUCCCUGUCUGUUGAGAAUCUAGUGGAGGAGAAAUGCCUGUAGUUAGAAAGAAACCUAAAACGAUACCUGCCAAGGGCAUCAGGCUAAAAGAUUAAUUGUGCUAUAGAAUACAGUAAAACACAGUUAAUUUUAACUGUUAAAUGAGCACUUUUUGUUUUCAUACAGGAAUGGCUGAAGUCUGUUUAUCCACAGAAAUGGCAAGGGCGUCAACAGUAUGGCAGAGGGAACACAGACACCUUCAAAUGGCAAACAAACUUUUCUAGUUCCUGCUUGGAGGAGCUACCUCUCUAUGGAAAGUUGACUGUACCCAUACUCACCCCUUUGGUGGCUCAUCCUCAGGAGUUAGUCAGUUCAAGAUGUAGCAAUUGUACUAAAAGUACUGUACAAAUAUUAAUGGGUUUAUCCUCCUAGCAUCCCUUUCAGGCAGAGAAAUAAUGCACCUGCUGUGCAGUGCAUGAAGCACAAAGCAAAAACCCUUGUAUAUUAUUUUGCCAGUCCUCGAGGCAAUUAAUCAGAGCUUACCCAUGUGUUUUAGCCUACCCUGCUACAGUAUGGUCACACUCAUAAUGUUAGCAUACUGUUUCAUGCCUACCCUGAGGCUGCAUGUAGCCACAGCAGGCAAUACAGCUGCCAGAGCAAAGGCAGCAAGGAAUACGAUUUCUCCAACAUGCUCAGAGUGCUUGGAAAGUAGGAUGAAGUGGCAUGUUUGGGCUGCGGUUCUUGGGUCGUUGCUUUGUAUGCAGAUAGAAUCCUUA